GUUCGAACGAUGAUGCUGGUGCUUGCACUGGUGGAUUAGUGGCAGAACGGGUGAGUAACACGUGAGUAACCUGCCCCUGACUUCGGGAUAAGCCCGGGAAACUGGGUCUAAUACCGGAUAUGACUUCCUGCUGCAUGGCAGGGGGUGGAAAGAUUUAUCGGUUGGGGAUGGACUCGCGGCCUAUCAGCUUGUUGGUGAGGUAAUGGCUCACCAAGGCGACGACGGGUAGCCGGCCUGAGAGGGUGACCGGCCACACUGGGACUGAGACACGGCCCAGACUCCUACGGGAGGCAGCAGUGGGGAAUAUUGCACAAUGGGCGAAAGCCUGAUGCAGCGACGCCGCGUGAGGGAUGACGGCCUUCGGGUUGUAAACCUCUUUCAGUAGGGAAGAAGCCCCUUUUUGGGGUGACGGUACUUGCAGAAGAAGCGCCGGCUAACUACGUGCCAGCACCCCGGU
rnacentral:rRNA from 1 species